rnacentral:lncRNA from 1 species
AUUGGGUUAUUCAACUUUUUACGUGUUUAUAUGGACUUGGAAAGAUAGUAUAUCUAUAUGGGCAUAAGAAGAGCAAGGUUGUCAUUUUUUUAUUAUGAUACAAAAAUGACCAGGAAAAUGCCGUUCUGACUAUAGAUAGGCAGGAGGAACAAGCAACAAGCCUGAGGCCACCAUUUCUAGAGGCAUCAUGAUGAGGAAUAGCAUUGGCUGAGGGUGGGGAGCAGGCAGCUCAGCGUAGGCCAGGGUGAGUGGGCACCAGGAGCAAAAUGCAGAUGAGGUGGAAUGAGGAAUUGAAAUGCAGAUGAAGUUGAGUUCAAGAAAAAUCACGUUUCUUAUGCAGCUGAUGGAAAGAUUCAUACAUUCUUGUGAUGCUGGUCAGUGGGGAGGUAGGCGUUGCGGGAGGCUGUGUGGUUCUGCAGUACUGCUCCUAAGCAAACUCCACGUUGCUGCCCUGGGGAGGACAAAAGGCUGAUUCGCUGAAAGAAUCAUUAACAGAGAUGGCGGAAGGAGGUUACAUGUUAUUCAAGAUGGGAUUGUGAAGUGAAGGAGGAAAAAACAUACCCCAGAGAUCCUGGACUGAGAGCUGGAUACAGAUUGCGACAUAACUUUGAAGUCGAACACAUUUGGGAGCACAUCUGCGUUUGUACAGCAAGAGGCAAUAGGGAAGUGUUAAAACCAAGAUAAAAUAGAAUGAAAAAAUAAGCCCACAAAUAUGUGCAUACUAAAUAAGAAGCUGGUAACUUCAUUCACAGUCAGUUGGUUAGGACAUAGACAUGUUUUCAAAAUUUAACAUUCUAUUUUGUGGUUUCAAUAGUGAUGGUUGUCAUUUAAAUAGGCAUAAUGAUGGCAAUGAAGAUAUCCUUGGAAGGGAAGAUAACUUUUAAUCAAUAAAAUUGUUUCUGUGUUACUUCGUUAAUAUUUAUAUUUACAUACUCCACAUCGUGAUGGAUAUUUCACAUGCAUAAAUACGAUUUGACAUAUUGUACAUAAAGAUGAAAGUUUAGGGAAUUAGAAUUUUCUUUAAAAAGCCCAAUAUAACAGAACUAUUAUUAUUCACUUUAACAACCUUUCUUAUGAUCAUGUCAAGCUAUCAAAUAUUCAAGUGGUAAGGAUAAAAGACCAUAUUUGGUAUAAAAGACCUCUUUCUAACAUUCUAUUACUGCUGUUUGCCUUGCUGAGGUUCAAAUUGUGUUUGAGAAUAAAACUAUGAAGAUAACUUAAAUCACUAUCUUAUUUACUGUUCAAAGACACUUUUAAAAAUCAUUAGAGGACUGCAAAGACCAGAAAUGCUUUAGACUCGUCAUCAUUUAGCACACAUUCAGUGUACACAAGGCACUAUCUACUGAGUUAACCAUCUACUGAGUAAGUCAGGCAGGAUGAAAAUGACUCACUGCAACACUGUUAGGAUAAAUCUGGACCCCAUGUUAGUGUAAGCAUGAGCCAGGCUAACAACUUUCUCUACAUCCACCCAACAAACUAAAAGAAACCAGACAUCAAGGAAGUGCCCCCUCUCAGCCAAAAGUCUGUGAAACAUUCACUCAGAUUUAGCUUUAAUUCCUGACGUAUAUCUGGUUGAAGAAAUUUAGCAAUGUGUAUGAUCCUUUCUAAGGCAGGCACUUGUCAUAUGUAUUUUUAUUUUCUUUGAUAGGAUCUGCACUGACUUGAACUGAGAACUACCAACUGGUGUAUUCUUCAGCCCCAUGAACCAAGACAGCCCUUGAUAUUUAUUAAUCUUUUACUGAUGCAUGAUUAAAGGAAUGCUUUUCUCCUCUCCAAGUUUCAGCGAUCGUCUCCAGGGGCUAUAUGAUGCUGUGUAUUUUGCAUUGCCCACUGAGAAAAUGUUUAAUGGAAUAGAAUGAUACUGCUGAGAAGAGGAGAGCUCAGUGGUCCUCACCACAGGAUGUUCCUCUGCAAAGCAGAAUAGCAAGUUGAGCAUCAUGGAUAAGAUUUUCUUUCAGAGCAGAAGGGACUUAAACUCUUAAACUCACAGGGAGAGCGCCACUCGUCAAAUACUCUCAAGAUUUUCAGCCACUGUGCCAAAAGGACCAUAAAUUAUGCCCUCAUUGAAUAAUGUUUUAAGUGUGGUACUUCUUAAAGAACAUAUUUAUUAACCAGGCAAAAAUUUUAUUACAUGGCCACAACAUGCUAUGCUGUUUUCAUCAAGUGCCUAUGUAAGGGUAUUUGUAGAAGGUUGUCUCCAGGAAACCACUAACAGUUAUUUCCAAAGAACUCAGUCUCCUUGGCUUCAUAGACUAAUUUUCAGGAACUUUGGAGCAUAAAACACAUUUUGGAACUAGAGUUCUACAUGUCAGAAGGUCUGAAAAGCCAAGAGAUUAGUAUAAAUAGCUUUGUUAUUCACACACUGAAUAUAACAUUUAGAUAUAAUAUAUUCUGUAGCCAAAGUACUCUAGUUUCUCCCAAUAAUUUGAAACAAGAAGUUAAGAACACAAAAUGCACCUAGAGGGAAAGAAGAAUGAUACUUUAUUGCUGCUGAAUUCAUGAAUCUAUUAGGGAAACUCAUUUUAAUCUUUAGGUUUAAUAUGUCCCUUUUAUCAAGACUGAGACUUUUCUUUGUGUCUACAGUAGAAAAAUGACGCCAAUUUAGUCCUGUACUUUGCCAACCCCUGAUUGUCACAUUUUUCGAAUUAUCACAGUUGUCCAUCAAUUGUGUCAAGACAGAAUAGAAAAUUGGGUUGUGGGUUGGAUCCUGUUAAGGAUAUAUACAGAUUUCUAUAAAACAUUCAUAAGGAUAUUGCUCUCGUUUUUCUUUCUGUAGGAUGAUGAACAUUUUUUUGUUUUGUUUUAUUUUCUGGAUGUUUAACUUUUAGUUAGAAUAAUAUAAACAAUUUUCUAGUCACAAAGACCUUUUAGAACAGCCUUACUUUCAGAGCUUUCAUAAUUCUGGAAUGAGGCGCUAUUCCACCCACAGUUUAGUUUGUAUUCCUUGAGCUGAGUUAAUUAUCUGAGGUCACAGGAUGCUAUUGGUGGUUUUGCAUGUACAAAUGGAUAUUCUCAAUUCUGCCCAGAGUAAUGGAUCAAAAUAGGCAGUUAAUUCAAGGUUUUAAAAAUUAAUAUAAUCUGCAAUUUUAAUGGUGCAAGGAAAAUUAAAGGUCUCUUAGUUCAACACAUUUAUCUUGUAGAUGAGCCAGCAAAGGCCCAGAGAGCCUUUAGAAUUUGCCAAGGGUCACAUAGCCAGUUAAUGGCAGAGCUGGUAUCAGAAAAAGGUCUUUUAUCUCAUAAUUCAAAGCUCUUUCUUCGAAUUAUGAAAUGUUAAGGCAUAGUGAAAAGUCCAGAAAAUAACAUGACUAACAUUUGUGUAUCUACCACCCAGCUUUAUCAAAUCUUACCAUUUUUUAUGUAUGCUUCUUUAAUUUUUUAAAGAAAUAAAACAGAUUCAAUAAAGCCCCUUGUAUAAUUUUUUACUAAUAAGACGUCUCAUACUGCCUUCCAAAUUUGCCAUUGUUAUGUGAAGAUGCAUAAAUAGUAUCUAUAUGUACAAUAUUUGUUAUCGUUUUAUGUAGUUUAGAACAGUAUAUAAGUAAAAUCGUAUUUUAUGUAUUCUUCUGAAAUUUGCUUUUUAUCGCUCACUAUUGUUUUUGAGAUUUUUUAAUCCUCAAGUACAUAGCUAUGGUUCAUUCAAUUUUACUGUUUUCCAUAUUGUGAACCUAUUACAAUGUAUUUAUCCAUUUUCCUCUUGAUGAAUAUUUAGAUUUUUUUAAAAGUUGCUAUUACAAAUAAUGCUGUAAUAAACAUUCUUGUAUAUGUGUCCUUGUGCACAAGUGCAAGAACUUGUUGGCUACAUGCUUGGAAAUUGUAAUACUUCAAUGGUAUGUAUUAUUGUCAAAUUACUCUCCAAAGUGUGGUACAGCAGUGUUAUAUGAUGCCAAUUUGAUGGAUAGGAAAUGGUUCAUCACUGUGGCUUCAUCUGUAUUUCCCUUAUUAAUAAUAAAAUUGAUUAUCUUUUUGUAUGUUUAUCAGUUAGCCAUUGCUUCAAUAAUAUUGGGUGACCAACCACCACAAAACUUAGAGGCAAUCAUUUAUUUUCAUGGGUCUGCAGGCCAACUGGUGUGGCUCCACUUCAGGAUGCAGGUCUGGGAAUCCACAUCUGUUCCAUGUGUCUCUUAUCCUCCUUGGGCCAGUGGACCAGCUAGUGAUCCUCUUCUUGCAGCAAAAGCAGGAGCACAAGAGUGCAAGCCCCAUUCCUCAAUGACAUUUCAAGUCCUUGCUUGUGACACUUCUGCUCAUGUCCUAUUGACCAAAGGAAGGCAUUUUGCUGAGUCCGACAUCCAUAAAGUGGAGAAAUGCUCCACCCCUGUGAGACCAUGGCAUAGCCAUGAAGGCAUAUAACUACUACAGGGGAGGGAAGAAUUGUCACCAGUAAUUUCAUCUACCACAACACAUUUAUUGGUUAUGAAUUGCUGUGAAUUUCUGGUUCAUAGUCUUUGCUCAUGUUGUCUUGAGUUGCUUGUAUUUUGCUUAUUGUUUUGUAGAUAUUCUUUACAUAAUGUGGAUUCUGAUUUUUAUCUAUUAUAAGAUUAUGAAAAAUCUUAUUUUAGUACAUGGCUUAUCUUUUCACUUUGUUUAUGAUAUUUGUCUUGUAAAGUUUAAAAUUUGACUGCAGUCUAAAUAGUUAUCAGUUUUUUCUUUUACAGUUUGCACUCAUUGUGUUGUUUUAGAAAAUUAUCUGCAUCCUGAGGUCAUUAAUAUACCCUCCAAUGUUAUCUUCUAAGAGUAGUAAAGUUUCAUUUUUCCAUGUAGGUUCAUGAUUUGCUCAGAACUUUUAAGUUUUUUCUAUUUUUUUCUGUAAAUUCUCUUAUAUAUUCUACAUAAAUAAUCAUAUCAUUUAUGAGUAAUAAAAUUUGGUCUUUUUGUUUCCAAUUC